CAUGGUUCGAAAUUGAAAGGCGGCUUCGGCUGUCACUUAUGGAUGGACCCGCGUCGCAUUAGCUAGUUGGUGAGGUAACGGCUCACCAAGGCAACGAUGCGUAGCCGACCUGAGAGGGUGAUCGGCCACACUGGGACUGAGACACGGCCCAGACUCCUACGGGAGGCAGCAGUAGGGAAUCUUCCGCAAUGGACGAAAGUCUGACGGAGCAACGCCGCGUGAGUGAUGAAGGCUUUCGGGUCGUAAAACUCUGUUGUUAGGGAAGAACAAGUGCUAGUUGAAUAAGCUGGCACCUUGACGGUACCUAACCAGAAAGCCACGGCUAACUACGUGCCAGCAGCCGCGGUAAUACGUAGGUGGCAAGCGUUAUCCGGAAUUAUUGGGCGUAAAGCGCGCGCAGGUGGUUUCUUAAGUCUGAUGUGAAAGCCCACGGCUCAACCGUGGAGGGUCAUUGGAAACUGGGAGACUUGAGUGCAGAAGAGGAAAGUGGAAUUCCAUGUGUAGCGGUGAAAUGCGUAGAGAUAUGGAGGAACACCAGUGGCGAAGGCGACUUUCUGGUCUGUAACUGACACUG
rnacentral:rRNA from 1 species